UAUCCAAUAGCCAAUCAGUGCAUACAAACAGUUUGUCGUAUGAAUAUAAUAUUAGCCUAACUUUCAAUUAUUUCUUUCCUUCAAGUAACCGAUCAAGUUAUUUUUUAAUUCAUGCUUCAGUUACCAAAUCUUUAGAAAACGCGCGAAAAGAGUUUAUUCUAGUGCAUAUUCGUAAUAUCGCAAUACGUUUUACUUGCAGAUUUUUUGUGCUUCCGUGCAACUUUCUGUAUUUAAAAAUUGAAAAGAGAGAGGAACCACGAAGAGAGGAUUCGACUGUAGAAAAUAUUUUUUUGUAUUUUCGUGCAACUUUCUGUAUUUAAAAAUUGGAAAGGGAGAGGAAUCGAAGAGAGAACUUGACUAUGUAGAAAAUAUUUUUGUGUGCUUCUAUUCUGUAUUUAAAAUUUGGAGAGAGAGGAACCGAAGAACAUGACUGUAAAAAAAUUCUCUUGGAGCGUACGCCUUAGACUUUCACCGAAAGGAACUCUUAACCGUUCAUUCAUAAAUUGAUGAUUGAAGGUUCUCCUGUUCUCCGUUUGGUCACGAGUGAUAUGCUCAUGCGCGUUUUACGCGUAGCGGCAUGAGGGCUCAACUCUACUCUCUAUAAGAGAUUUUUUUCUUUUUUUUUUAAAGAUAUUACAGAGUCACGACAGAGCUAAUGCACGCAAGGGUACACACAGAUUCUCUCCAUACUUCUGGUACCAUCGAAAUAUUUAAUUCAGACAAAAUAAAUUAAACAGCGUACGACUUGAUUAUCAAUUGGACAUGAUACGGAUAGAUAAUAUAACAAUGAUCACAGCUCAUAGCAUGCGCGAAUCAUCGUGGUAAGUGUGUAAACUGAAUUGAAUAAUUUCUUUUGUAUGGUAUCAGCCACAACAUAUGCUUGAUACAUGAAUAGCAUCUAAGAUCGUUGGGCUUGCAAAUCAAUUUUAAUACAAAUACAUUGCAAUAGUGCUUAUUAUCAAUUCUAAGCUCGCGAAACAUUUAUUUACAGUCAUUUAUUUACGGUCAACAUUGAAAAGAGAAUAGAUUGUGCGAAUAAAACUAAUAAAAUUUACAUUACUCUUGCAUACUUUUGUUAAAAAGGGAACGGUUGAAUCAUUUGAUCAAUUGAAUUGAACAAAAACAAAGAAGCAAAUUUGAUAUUAUUGUGUAGAGAAAAAAAAAUGAAAAAGGCGGGAUUUUUUCGUGAAUAAAUUUGACGCGACGUGUUAGACAGUCCUACUGGUCUGACUUGUCACCGAAUAGGGU